ACGGCUACAUCACAUUUAAAUACCGCUUCCCGUGCGAUCACCUAAGUUAAGAAAGGCCGUGCCUCUUCUGUACUUAGAUGGGUGACCGAUUGGUAAUAACAGGUA